rnacentral:lncRNA from 1 species
GAACUCUGAUACAGAACAUGACCAUAGGAAGUGGGAUACUACCCUAACAAAUACCUGGAAAAUGUGUGUAAAGCCAUGGAAUGGGUACCUGAGUAAACACUGGACAAGCUUUUACACGUGUACUGGAGAAGAGGCUGUUGAACAGGUCAUAGUGAGGGCUCAGAAGAAAAGAGGAAAGCUGAGGAGAAUGCUAUCAUUUUCUUGGAGAAUACAUAAAUAAAAUGUAGAGGUUACAGGUAUGACACAGACAUUAAGCCCAAUUCUAAUGAGGUCUCUGAUGGAAACGAGAAGCAUGCUAUUGGGAGACAGAAGAAGGGACCUUGUUACUAAGCAGCAUAGAACAUGACGAAAUUAUGUUUGUACCCUCAUAUUUUCUGGAAAAUAAUUUGAGAGUGAUUAAGGAGAUACUUAGCUGGGUCAGUUUCCAGAGGAAAGUAUUGAGGGGCUUGACUCCCCCUGUCUGCUUCUAAGACAUGAAGGGGUCAUUAAGCCAAACAGAACCAGAACUGCACAAACUUGAGCUGUUCUCAGCAUGUCCGUACUGUAAGAAGUGAGAAAGGAUGUUUGGAACAGAGUACAACACUCAGGAAAUAUGACUCACCACUUGAUAAGACAAUUGGUCCAGACAUGAGCUAUCAACAUAAUCACCCACCUCAGCAGAGGCCAGGAAUAAACACGGGAAUUUUACCAAUAGAAACUUUGCCACACCGAACUAAGGCAAACAGCACUGAAUGAAUGAAGUCUGAAAACAUCCUAUUUCACAUAUAUAAAAAAGAAACUCCCUGAUGGGUAUAAGGUUUAUUUUGGUGUGUGGCUUCAAAGGAAUUUCAGUCCUUCAUAUCUAAAAAUGCAUAUAGGAGUUGACCUGUUGUGGCAGCUGGAAGAUGAGAAAUACACCUUCUGGCUGCACCCAGACUGUCAGCCACCAAAGAAGCUCAUAAACACAAGGACUCCGAAAGGCAUCCAGCCAACAUGACCUCAGAAGUAUUUACAUUCUGUGAUGGAGACCGUGAUAGAAUUCAGUUUCUCUAUCACUGUAUUUUCUGCCAAUUACUACUCCAGUGUGUCUCUCAGGGAUGUGGAAAUUUUUGACAAGAUGAGGAGAAAAAAAAUCAAUUCUCUUUUGAGGAAUCAAUGUAUUAAUACCCAAGUUAUUGCUGCCAAUUGGAAACCCAUUGUCAUCUUAUUUCUGGUGAAAUUAUGCAUGUGAGAGGGGAGCCGGGUCUGUUACUGUUAGCAAGGCAUAGGUUUAAAGGAAGUCAGUACAAUACGACGAC